CUAGUAAUGUGGCUCUCUACAUCAGAGGUGGGCAAUCCUGGACCUCGAGGGCCGGUGACAUGCAACUCUUAGAUGUGUCCCUGGACCAACACACCUUAAU